UACCCGCAGCACAAGUGGUGGUCAUUAUUAUUGGGCCUAAAGCGUCCGUAGCUGGCCUGUUAGAUGCCUGGGUAAAUCGAUGCGCUCAACGCAUCGAACUCCGGGUAGACCGGCAGGCUUGGGACCGGGAGAGGCGUGAGCUACUCGGGGGGUAGGGGUAAAAUCCUGUAAUCCUCCGGGGAGGACCAGUGGCGAAGGCGUCACGCUAGAACGGCUCCGACAGUGAGGGACGAAGCCCUGGGGCGCAAACCGGAUAGA
rnacentral:rRNA from 1 species